GAUGAACGCUGGCGGCGUGCCUAAUACAUGCAAGUCGAGCGAACGGACGAGAAGCUUGCUUCUCUGAUGUUAGCGGCGGACGGGUGAGUCCUACGUGGCUAACCUACCUUUAAGACUGGGAUCACUUAGGGGAACCGGAGAUAAUAUCGGAUAAUAUUUUGAACGGCAUGGUUCUACAGUCAUAGACCGUUUUGCUGUGACUAAUAGAUGGUUCCGCGCUGCAUUAGCUAGUUGGUAAGGUAACGGCUUACCAAGGCGACGAUGCGUAGCUGACCUGAGAGGAUGAUCAGCCACACUGGAACUGAGACACGGUCCAGACUCCUACGGGAGGCAGCAGUAGGGAAUCUUGGGCAAUGGGCGAAAGCCUGACGGAGCAACGCCGCGUGAGUGAUGAAGGUCUUCGGAUCGUAAAACUCUGUUAGUAGGGAAGAACAUAUGUGUAAGAAACUGUGCACAUCUUGACGGUACCAAAACAGAAAGCCACGGCUAACUACGUG
rnacentral:rRNA from 1 species